rnacentral:lncRNA from 1 species
CAUAAUGCUUGCUUAACAAAUUGGAUUCCUUUCUACAGGGAUUUUUUCUGGAUUCCUCAAGGCUGACCUUUAUGGAGUACCCGUUAUAUCUAACAUGAACAUAUGUGAUGAAAAUCCACAGAAAACUUUAAAAGGUUUACCAGUAUCAGGAAAGGAUUUGAAGUUUUUCUGUCUUAUAAACUUUGUAACCAAGGCAAACAUUUAUAUGACGGCUAACCAAAGUCAACAGACAACAUGGCAAUGAUAUGUUUCUUUGUAAAGGAUGGAACUUCCAGGAGAUAAUGAAGAGUGAAAUGAGUAGAACCACUAGACAUUAAAUACAGUUACAGACUUAAUAUUGGAAGAAUAACUUGUAAAUGUCUACAUCGAGAGAAUGAACUGAGAAAUGGAAACACAAAAAAUAUAAUCUAUAUAUUGCCAGAUGAUACCUUCUACAGUGUGGGAAGGAGAUGGAGGUGUUGAAUUUUUAAAAAUAAAAUUUUCAAAGUUAUGUCA